AUAGGAUAAAUGCAAUAUAAGCCACAAUUUGGAAAAGGAAAGCAUGAGAAGCACACUACAGAGACUGAUCUAGAGAAGUUAUCACUGUGCUGGGUGGGAGUCAUUCAUCUGUCUGCUCUGGGAGUUACAGAUUCACAUGAAGUCCCAGGAUAGCUUCUGUCGGCUUUGGUGGCCUGUUGCAGCAGCCAGCAGCAGGAAACUUGAGGAGCUAUCAUCUCAGGAAUGAACGGGGCCACAUCAAUAAGGAGACCUGUAAUGAUGUGGCUCUAAAUGUCAGCUUUAAAAGCCUGGGAAUUGAUAGAGGAAGAGAGAAGAAAGGGUGUCCCAGUUUUCCACAUGCCGAAUGAUUCAGCAAAAUAAUGUGAGCAAGUCAAGACUCUGGAAAAUAUUUUUAGAUGCCAAACAAAAACCUGGAGUGAUCAUGUUUAUUUGGAUUUGCUCACUGAG
rnacentral:lncRNA from 10 species